UACUCAGGCCAUACCACCCUGAACGCACCCGAUCGCGUCUGAUCUCAGAAGCUAAGCAGGGUCGGGCCUGGUUAGUAUUUGGAUGGGAUACUGCCUGGGAAUACCGGGUACUGUAGGCU
rnacentral:rRNA from 1 species